rfam:Nicotiana sylvestris Nsyl_contig111045, whole genome shotgun sequence.
GGGCUUAUAGUUUAAUUGGUUGAAAUGUACCACUCAUAACGAUGAUAUUGUAGGUUCGAGCCCUACUAAGCCUA